ACGAUUGACCGACAUGUAUGAGAGGUACGAAUUCCCCCACCACAACUGCUGCUGUUACAGCUGCUCCUGCUACGAGCUGGAAAGCAAUUGGUCGUUAACAAGCUGCGGCAAAGCAAUACGAGGGUUCGCUUCACGAUCAGAUCAGAUUUGAAAGCCGCAGUAUUCAGUUAUCUCCCCUUCAGUGUUGACUUGGAAUUCUGCUGGCAUCGCAAUUACCUGUUUAUCUUUUCGGGAUUAAUAAAAUAAAACCUCAUUUAAGGACUUGAUUUGUUAUAAAAAUUCUUCCUAUAAAGCAUCCUAGAUGUGAAUGGAAGAAUGAUAUUACAUGAUAGCCAAAAGCGAGGAGAAUACGUUGUGAAAACCAAAAAUUUGACGUAAUUCCAUUGACGAAAAGCAGUCUUUUUUUUUUGAAAUUAUUUAUUUUGCUUAAAUCAAUGAAAACUAUGUCAAAUCAAAAGUUUUUCAAAAAUGAAAAUGAAAACUUGUUUACAGCCCAUUACGUUUUGAGUUCGAAUGUUGUCGAGUCCAAUUUUGUCUCCCCCCCCCCUUCGGGGUCGAUAAAAACGAAGUACCAUUCAAAUACUGGAUCUCAUUGAGAUUUAAUAAUUGUCAAUAUAGAAUUAUUGAUAAGAUUUAGAACUACGAAAUAUUUACGAAAAUAAAGCACUGAAAUAACGAACAAAAAAUAUGUAAAUAAUAUAUAAUAUGUAAUAUAUAAAUAUAUGAUUACAAUCUUGUCGAUAAGCUGUUAACGAUAUAAGGGAAUAUAGCUAAAAUAUAUUUUAGCUUCAUUAAAACGUUUCAAAUUUCUGUUUGUUUUCCCCUGAAACACGACCAAAACCGCGCCAUUUUUUCAUAAACGAAGAAAUCUAUUAAAAGGUGUGUUUACGUUAUAAAUACCAGCGUGCUUUCAACCAGUGCCUUUCUAUUUUUUCAAAAUAUCAAAAUAAACAAACAGUCCUUGAAUCCUUUUUAAAGUAAACUGAUGAUGAUGAUCUUCAGUCAAAGACAAAAUUAAUCCAUAAGAGGGUUCAAUACGAUUCCAUUGCUGUGAUGUUUUUGUUUAAAAUUCUAAGGUUCCAUCAUGAGAUUUCGCUUCCUGCAAGAAUGAGGAAGAGAGAGAGAGAGAGGUAGAGCUUCUCUCCAUCGUCAGAUAUACGAAUACCUGCUGGGACAAAAGGGAAAAUAACAGAAACAAAACAUUGAAAAGUAAUACUAAACAUUUUAUUCAGCUAAAAUAUAUUUUACCCCAAGAUUGUGCUGCAACCUCGGUAGCCACGGGUUUAAAUUACUUUGUGGAUAGGAUUUUCUACUAAACGGAAACCGCGUAGAAGCCAACUGUGUAUAAUUAUUUGUAUUGUAUACAAUUGUAAAAGAUUGGUUUCUAUAUAGGCGAUCGUGAAGAAUAGAGUCGGAAAUGAUCUAGAUCGUCAAAGAAAUGUGUAUCUUUUAAGCAUUACAGAAUAUGAAUUUGGAAAUAGAAUAAAGUAAAAUAAAACCUGA